rnacentral:rRNA from 1 species
GGGGAAUAUUGCACAAUGGGGGAAACCCUGAUGCAGCAACGCCGCGUGAAGGAAGACGGUUUUCGGAUUGUAAACUUCUGUUCUUAGUGAAGAAUAAUGACGGUAGCUAAGGAGCAAGCCACGGCUAACUACGUGCCAGCAGCCGCGGUAAUACGUAGGUGGCAAGCGUUGUCCGGAAUUACUGGGUGUAAAGGGAGCGUAGGCGGGAUGCCAAGUCAGCUGUGAAAACUAUGGGCUUAACCUGUAGACUGCAGUUGAAACUGGUAUUCUUGAGUGAAGUAGAGGUUGGCGGAAUUCCGAGUGUAGCGGUGAAAUGCGUAGAUAUUCGGAGGAACACCGGUGGCGAAGGCGGCCAACUGGGCUUUAACUGACGCUGAGGCUCGAAAGUGUGGGGAGCAAAC